rnacentral:rRNA from 1 species
UACGUAGGGUCCGAGCGUUGUCCGGAAUUACUGGGCGUAAAGAGCUCGUAGGUGGUUUGUCGCGUUGUUCGUGAAAACUCACAGCUCAACUGUGGGCGUGCGGGCGAUACGGGCAGACUUGAGUACUGCAGGGGAGACUGGAAUUCCUGGUGUAGCGGUGAAAUGCGCAGAUAUCAGGAAGAACACCCGUGGCGAAGGCGGCUCUCUGGGACGGUACUGACGCUGAGACGCGAAAGCGUGGGGAGCAAACAGG